UCUUGUUACUACUACUAAGUUAAAGCUGACAGUCAGACCUCGACGGCGUACGUUUCAAAUCCAAUUAUUUUAUACUAUAGUUGACAGUCAGACCUUGAUGGCGUAUAUUUCAAAUCGAGGAUUAUUUUAUAGCCAAUAGCCAACAACUGUAACCUAUUGUCACAUGUUCCAUCAACAGCGUAAAGGUUGGCAGUAUCCUGUAGGAUUCAGCUGAAAAUCACGCCAGAUUUAAGAAGUAUCUUCGACAUCUUCAGUCUUUACUUCAAGUUGAAAGUGGAUUGAUUUGAAAGACAAUGAUGACACCAAAGGAAAAGGCCCAAUGUGUGUGGUGGUAUGCUGAGAGUAAAUCACCAAUUACCGUUCAGCGACAAUUCCGGCAGAAAUAUAAAAGAGGUCCUCCUUCCAAAUCCUGCAUAAUGAGAUGGGUUAAAAACUUUAAGGAGACUGGUAGUGUUAAAGACUUGCCUCGGAGUGGACGACCAGGUGUGAGUCAAGAAACUAUCAACAAUAUCCAAGAUGUAUUUCAGUGUAGUCCUCAAAAGUCUAUCCGUUGUGCAUCACAAGAAUUGCAGGUACCCAAAUCAACCAUUCAAAAGAUCCUCGAUAAACAGCUACGCUCUGAAUGUAAACUUGAGGAAGUGUAGAACAUUCUACAAAAAACUGCAUUACUUUACGUACUCUUAUGUUAUAUGGUUUGUGAGCAAUAAAUACUUCUAAUGGUA